rnacentral:tRNA from 1 species
ACCGAGGUGGCGCAACGGUAGCGCAGCGCUCUCCAAAAGCGAAGGUUGCAGGUUCGAGUCCUGUCCUCGGUG